GGAGGUCAUUUUGCAGGACCCUGGCAGUGUUCCUCCUUGCACAAAGAGGUAGUGGUCCUGCUGCUGGGUUGUUGCCCUCUUAUGGCCUCCUCCACGUCUCCUGAUGUACUGACCUGUCUCCUGGUAGCGCCUCCAUGCUCUUGACACUAUGCUGACCGACACAGAAAACCGUCUUCCCACAGCUCGCAUUGAUGUGCCAUCCUGGAUGAGCUGCACUACCUGAGCCACUUGUGUGGGUUGUAGACUCCGUCUCCUGCUACCACUAAAGUGAAAUCACCGCCAGCAUUCAAAAGUGACCAAAACAUCAGCCAGGAAGCAUAGGAACUGAGAAGUUGUCUGUGGUCACCACCUGCAGAACCACUCCUUUAUUGGGGGUGUCUUGCUAAUUGCCUAUAAUUUCCACCUGUUGUCUAUCCCAUUUCCACCUGUUGUCUAUCCCAUUUCC